rnacentral:lncRNA from 1 species
GAGAAUUGAGAUUGGAGGAUAUUACAGUAGUUAAAGAAUUUCCAGAUGUAUUUCCAAAUGAACUUCCUGGGAUGCCACCUAACAGAGAAGUUGAGUUUUCUAUUGACUUAGUCCCUGGAACAUCUCCAAUAUGUAUGGCACCGUACAGAAUGGCUCCAGCAGAAUUGAAGGAACUGAAGGUUCAAUUGCAAGAGUUGGUGGAGAAAGGGUUUAUUAGACCUAGUGUGUCCCCAUAGGGAGCUCCAGUCUUGUUUGUUAAGAAAAAUGAUGGGACUUUUAGACUCUGCAUCGACUACAGGCAGUUGAAUAAAGUUACGGUACGCAAUAAGUAUCCACUUCCGCGUAUUGAUGACUUGUUUGAUCAACUCCAAGGGGCAAAAGCAUUUUCUAAGAUCGAUUUGCGCUCGGGUUACCAUUAGCUUAGAAUUAAAGAUGUCGACGUUCCUAAAACAGCAUUUAGAACCCGUUAUGGGCACUAUGAGUUCUUAGUUAUGCCAUUUGGGUUGACAAAUGCCCCAGCUGCUUUUAUGGACCUGAUGAAUAGGGUAUUUCGCCCGUACUUGGAUCGGUUUGUGAUUGUAUUCAUUGAUGAUAUCUUAGUGUAUUCCCGAAGCGAGGAGGUGCAUGCAGAGCAUUUGCGGACUAUUUUACAGACUUUGAGACAGAAGCAAUUGUAUGCCAAGUUCAGCAAAUGCGAGUUCUGGUUGGACAUAGUAGUAUUUUUGGGCCAUGUGAUAUCAGCUAAAGGCAUUUAUGUUGAUCCUCAAAAGAUUGAAGCAGUUGUGAAAUGGGAACGGCCUACAAAUGUCACAGAGGUUCGGAGUUUUCUUGGAUUGGCUGGUUAUUAUCGUAGAUUUGUGGAAGGAUUCUCGAAGAUUUCUACUCCUCUGACACGGUUAACCAGAAAGAAUGCUAAGUUCCAGUGGGAUGAUGACUGUGAGAAGAGUUUUCAAGAACUUAAGACACGUUUGACCUCAGCUACUUCCAAAAUAGAUUAACACCAACUUUAUCUUUCAACAAGCCAACAACUCCAUGAACAAACAAACCAACACUUCAAUAUCCACAAAAUAAACCAAUACUUCAGUAGCCAACAAUCAGCAAUCAGCAAUCAUCAAUCAUCCAAUCAUUAAGAACAUCACAAACAUGUCAUCAAAAUCCAUAAAAAAUAUAAAUGCAAACAACCAAAAUAUGAAAUGUAUGUGCGAAAACAGAACUCAGAAGCUAUGGAGGUGGAGAAGAUGUGCUCCCCGGAUCAUAGCCGAAAUAGCUGAGAAGAGUGCGCUGUCCAGCAAUAAGCUCAAGCUGCUGGAAGAUCUGAAAGUCAGAACGUUGCUGCUGGUGGUCACGGGAAACAGUGUCCAACCGAUCAAGAAUCAGCUGCUGGCGCUCCGAAAUCCGGUGAACAUCAGCAAUCAACUGCUGCACAAUGUCUGAAGCAGGGGGCUGAACUGGAGCUGGAGGCGGCAUAGAGGCAGAUGGCUGCUCAGGAACAACAGAUGGCUCAGGAGCAGGAGGCGGCUCGGAAGAGGAGGGAAUAUCAGCAUCCAUCGCACGCUCCUCAGAGUCUGAGUCAGCUGGAGGCCGAGGGACAAAAUGGCGACACGGAGGAUGAGGAUGAGCACCUAAUCUAAAGUCAGGAAACUGAUCGGGAGAAUAGAUAUCAUUGAGCAUCCGAUCGUCCUCUGGAGCAAUCAAGGUAUCCCGGUUUUUGGAGUUGCUUGUCUUUAUCCACUCUCCAUUCUUCCUAGAGAAACCGAUACUAGUCAUGGCCUCGGGACCAAUCCGUCUAGUCUCCAUGUGUCCAGUAUCAAGAAGAGGCACCUUAAAGUGUCGCAGUAUCUUAGUAAUGAUACUGCCAAAAGGAAGCAAGCGGUGAUUGACCGCGGGAGUACUCAACAUAUGUCGCACAAUAAUAUACCCGAGGUUAAUGGGACGGUCUGUAAGAAGGCUAUCUAAAAGGGCAACGUCCAACCUCGUAACCUCAUCCGAGUGACCCUUACUAGAUAUAGAAGCUCGAGAAUUGAGAUUGGAGGAUAUUACAGUAGUUAAAGAAUUUCCAGAUGUAUUUCCAAAUGAACUUCCUGGGAUGCCACCUAACAGAGAAGUUGAGUUUUCUAUUGACUUAGUCCCUGGAACAUCUCCAAUAUGUAUGGCACCGUACAGAAUGGCUCCAGCAGAAUUGAAGGAACUGAAGGUUCAAUUGCAAGAGUUGGUGGAGAAAGGGU